UCUUCUUCUUUUUUUAAAACCAACUCUUAACAUCUAAGACCGAUUUUUUUCUGUUCCUUUACAUUUCCCCAUUUCCUCAUGAAAUUUAACCAUUGAUUUUCAAGGUUAACCCGAGCAAAGGGAAGAUUUUAUUUUCAAGUAUAAGUUAGACUUCAACCCAUCUUCCGAAAAUGGAUAAAUUAAAGAAAGGUCUUAAUUGGCCCCCCACCUACAAGUGGCAACCCGGAAAACCGUUAGCUGCAAUGGUAGCUGGUAUCUGACUACCCUGACAUCGGCGCUGGGCAAAAGAAUAGUAGAGUCACUUAACUCGAUUUACAGCUCUGUAUUCAGUUAUGAAUUUUAAUUAUGCAAGGAUUUACAUUUUUGUACAUUAUUUUAUCUGCUCCUCUUGUCUAUUUCAAUUAUGUUUCCCGUAGGCAUUAUGUUUUGUCGUUAUGACUCCUACUGGGCAUUCUCUCACCCCUUUGUUUUGUUUUCUCCCCACGGAGUACGAAAGGAACUUGGAGUAGUAAGCUAGAUCGAGAUUAUGGCAGGAAAGUUCUGGAAGCUUGAAGUGUUAGUAUUUUCUUCUUCUAUGAUGUAUAUAUCAUGGGGAUAAUCUGGGGUGCUUUAUUUUUGGUUUUCAAUCUAUGUUUCAUAGUAUUUUACCGUGUACUGAAUGUCAUUUUAAGUAAAUGGUGUACUUGUUCACAGUGUAUACAUUUUGUUCUCCACGAUUCACUUUGGGAACAUGCUUAUCUCAAUUUUUAAAAAUCAAGUAUUGAGCUUUAACAACUAUGUGCACAUGUUUUUUGUAAAUUUCCUAUUUUAAAAAUAUUUUGUUAGUCUACUUGUUUGAAUUUGUUCACUCCAUUGAUUUUUAAGUGGUAGAAGCUCCUGUUUUAGAUAAUGUUUUCUUUCUAGACUUCAACUUUUCCUAGUACUAAAUUCAACUGUUGGAGAGCAGAAUAGGUCUCGUAGGUGCUUGUUUUAUGCUCAAAAUCUAGAGGACUUUCAUUAGUUUAGUUCUUGUUGAAAAUGUUGCAUAGCUUAACUUCAAAACCUAUGAGUACUAAGUGUGAACUUUACGUACUACCUUAUUAUGCUUCAUUUUGGUAGUUUAUUUCUUUUAUUUAUUUUUCUUCCUAAGAUUGGAACAAGGCAGUAAAAUCCUAAGUGUAUUUAACAGCUACGUAUACCCGUUUUCUUUUGUUUCCUUAUGAAAUUCCUAUUGACGUUUUCGCAAGCGGACGUUUUAGUCAUUGUUCAUAAUUAUACUUUUACUUCUAUCAAAAGUAUUUUCCCUUUUUAUUUUAAUUGACGAGCAUGUUUCUCCAUCUUUAUCGCUAGCCUUGAAAAGUUAUGUUAGAUGUCUGAAUUUAGAUGAAUAUAUUAUCUUUAGUUUUCAAGUGGCAGAAGGGGGAUUUGGCCUUGCUAAUGGGUUGAAAAUCAACUUGAUUGGAAGGUAAAUAUCCUUGUCUGUUACAGUUGGUAUCAGAGCAGUUCCGAUCUACUUGGGACUGUGAGUUUGGACUAACUAGUUUUCGUAUGCGAUGCAUUUGAUUGCAAAGAUAAAUAGAUAAAAUAUUUUUUGGCUUGUAUAUAUCAUCCAAUGAUUUUAUUUUGUUUUAACUAGUCAAAUGUUUUACGAAACUUACAGUGAGAUAAUUAAUUUUAUUGAGUUUUUGUUGGGCUUGGGGAUUGGGGAAAAACAUCAAGCUGCCGUGAUAUACAUAUCAUUUUGUGUGUUAGUAAUGUACAUUACUAACCAAUUGUGAAUCUGACUCAUGUUCUGUUUUGAAGAUACCUUUGAUGUGCUAGAUCUAAGCGACAAAAUCGAAUGCCUUAAGAAAAAUAUAGAACAACUGGUAAGUUGUGUUGACUAAUACUGACGCCGAUAGAGACCGUCGGGAGUCGAGUACUAUUGUAGACAAAAGGGAAAUUAAGAAGAUUACGAGAAAUGAAAGAAUUUUAGUAGUUUAGGAGGACGUGGAAUUUUGUCAAAAACAGACAACUGGUAUAGGUUUUGAAGAGGAGUUUGAUGCUAUUAAAAUAACGGAAGAGAAGAUGGUUUGGCUCGCAUUAAGUUUUUCUUUCCCAUGUUAGCGAGAGAGACGAAGAUGUAGAUACGGGAGAAGGCGUCUUAAUGGUUAAAGAUUUUGUUGUUAUCUUCCCAGAAAAUUUGUACGAGUUACCGCCAAAGAGACGAUCUACUUUGAGGUUGAAGUACGAACAGGGACAUCAUAAUAUCUAUACGUCCUUGUCAUAUGGCACCUAAAGAAAUGAAAUACUUACACAAACAACUUGGUGAUCUAGUUGACUGCAUUAGGUUUUAUUCACGUUUACGCUCAAGAGGGAUGGAUGGAUCAAUGAGAGUGUGCAUCGAUUAUCGCCGGUUAACCAAACCGCAAUCGAGAACAAGUACCCGCUGCGAAGAAGAUCUUUUCGAUUAGUUGAAGGGAGUGGAUUUCCAAGAUUGAUCUUCGAACCAGCUACACACCAACUAAGAAUCUGAGAAGAGGAUAUUCGCAAGACUGUUCGGCACCUAGUGUGGACACUAUGAGUUUCUUGUGCUGCCGUUUUGUGUAACGCACUCGCGGUGUUCAUGGACUUAAUGAACAGAGUCUUUCGGCCGUUUCUGAGUAAAUUUGUAGUUGUUUCAUAGAUGAUGUUCUAAUUUAUUCCAGAAUCAAAGAUGAACAUGAAUAACAACACUUAAGGAUAGUGUUGCGGGCACAAAGAAGAAUGAAGUGCGCACUAUACCAUUUAUGAAGUUUGCUUACGACAACAUUCGCCACUCUAUCGUUUGUUUGACGACAUAUGAAGUUUGGCACGGUAGAACAUGUGGUACACCAUUUUGUUACGAAAAAGUUAUUGGAGGAAGUAUUAUGAGCCUAAAAUUUUGAAGACGACAACAAGACUUACAAUCGAACCAUAAUGUGACUUAUGUAGAGAAAUGAAUGAACCAUAAUGUGACUUAUGUAGAGAAAUGAAUGCGAGUUAUCGGCAUGAAAGAGGCAAAUCCCCGGGAUAGGAACCUUCAAUAUGGUGAUGGUGUUAUUGCAACAUCCUAGCUUGAAGAGGCAACUUGGGAAAUAGAAUUCCAACGAGACAAUAGUACCGAGAGCCGUAUGGAGGUAAUCUUCUCUAUCCUUAGUUUUGUUUUGAUUUUCGAGGACGAAAAUCUUUUUCUAGUAGGUAAUGGUGUAACACCAGUAAAAAAAAUUGCUUGGCCUUGAGCUAGAGCCCAACAAUUCUGCUAGAAUUGUGCAAUGUGGGUGUGCAAUCCAAAUAUUGAAUGCUUGUAACCAUGUAGAGUGGAGA